UUUUUUUUUUUUUUUUUUUUAAUCCCUGGAUUCAGUAGUGCAUUCUUGCUUCACUACCUCCUUUAUUAUAGUGCUGUGGCUUAAUGUUUGUGUUUAAUGUGAAGAUUUCCAUCAUGUAGUGUGUUUGGCAUUGUUGAUUGAGAAAUAGGUAAUAAAAAUUUAUUUUUUAUGUUCCUUUCACAUAUUCUAAUCAUGAAAAUUUCAUAACAAAACAACACCCAGUAACUUCUAUUUCCAAAUUGUACCUCUUAGUGUGAGUUUCAAGGAUUAGUAGAAACUGGAUUUAAAGUUGUGAAUGGUUACAUUGGAACAGUAGUUGGAUUAGGAAGCUCUCUGAUCCCAGCUUCUUUUGCAUUAUAGUAGGGGGUUUGGAGGAUAAUGCUGUCCUCUGGUUUGUGGGACAAACUUGAACUUUGUUGAACUCAUCGCAGAGGGCUUUAGAUUGUUAACUAUAGCAUUCUUGUUUUACUUGUGUUACAUUCAUGAUCAACAGUAAUCGCGUCUUUGAGAGAUGUUCGGAAAAAAAAAUAUAUAUGAAAUUUUUCUUGAACAAUUAGAACCCGAUUGGAAGGUGAAAAUGGGAAGUUAGUUUGUAAAAUUUUACUAGAUUAAAAUUGGAAAGGAGGAUAAAAUUUAUAUACUGUAUUUGGUGUGGAUUAAAUGAUGGGAUGAGUGUUAUAAGUUUCAAUAUGCAUUUUGCAAGUCUUAUUCUGCUUGGCUCUUGUUUCUUUUUUCCCACACAACUACAGGCAACCGCUGAGGUCUUUCCGUGGUCAGCCAAUGCAAGUUCUUUUUCCCUGGUCGGCCGUACUUGAAGCCCAAUAGGCUCUGCAUUUCUUUGCCAUUAGCAAUGUUUUUCUUUUAGAACUGAGGAAGAAGGGAGAUAGAUGGGGCAAAGUUAUUGUGAGCCAAAUCAAUUGUUCAUUUGCUCCUUUGAACUCUCCUUUUCAUCCCUUCCUUUUCCUAAUCUUGUUCAUGUGAUAUAAUAGGGAAAUGCAUCUUGAUCUGCACAGUUAGAUUCUUGGCUCCUAAUAUUUUUGGCAUUUUGAGGACUUAAUUAGUGUAGAAUUAUGGGGUUUUGAUGUGGGGAUUAAAGAAGAAACACUGACAUUUGAUUUCUCAAAAAUUUUAGAGCUAAAAGCCACAAAAUUGGAUCCUGAGCCCAAGCCAAGAAGAUUCCCUAUCCAAUCUCUUCCAAUUGGCAAAUAAAAGAAAGCAAGUCAAGAAAUGUCUAGCCAAGCCAAGCCAACCCUCCUUCCAAUUCCCCCUUUGAGAGGUUAGAGUGAUGGUCCAAGGGGAGGCAAAGAUGUUAAAUAUAAGCAUCAUCAUCAUAAAUUAUUCUUUUUCUUGAUCUUGUUGCCUGAACCAACAUGAAGUUUCUUGUAUAACAACAUAUCAUGUGGCAGUGGAACUAUUACUAUCUGCUAAUUCUUCUUCACUUCCAUUGUUCAUUUCUUUAGUUUAUGAAUGACUUCGCUAGUACUUGAACAUA